CUAUAAUUCAUUUAUCAGCAAGGAAAUUGUAGAAUGACCCAUGGUCAGUCUUCAUUUUCUCAUUAAAACAGUGAAUGUCGUGAAGUGAAGGUGUGAAACCCAAAGAGGAGACUAUAUAGAAGGGGAAAUAUAGAGAUGCUGCACAGGCUUGGACAAGAAUAAUCAUAGAUGUGGACAGAAGUGUGAUGUUUUUUCCGUUGUAACUUCACUUUAAAUGCAAAACAUCACCGGCCAAAAUUGUUCACGUUUUUUUUUAUCACAGUGUCUUCGAAAACCUUGUAACAAUACAAUGAAGAUUUCAUGGGUUGGUUGGUUGUAUAGUGUGUUAAAAUGAACGUAAAAUGGAGUGCAAUGAA